GACACAAUGGGGAUCCCUUUUCUCUCUUUACUUCUUUCCGUGGUUCCACAACUGUACUCUGUGCACUCUCAAGUUCUGCCAAAAGCCACCGUGUCAGUAAGUCCAUACUACGCCGGAGACAGAGUGUCAGUAAGUUCUCCACAGAGUCCAUACUACGCCGGAGACAGAGUG